CCUACGGGUGGCAGCAGUGGGGAAUAUUGGACAAUGGGCGAAAGCCUGAUCCAGCCAUGCCGCGUGUGUGAAGAAGGCCUUCGGGUUGUAAAGCACUUUCAGUGGGGAAGAAAGCCUUGGGGCUAAUACCCUCGAGGAAGGACAUCACCCACAGAAGAAGCACCGGCUAACUCCGUGCCAGCAGCCGCGGUAAUACGGAGGGUGCGAGCGUUAAUCGGAAUUACUGGGCGUAAAGCGCGCGUAGGCGGUCUGAUAAGCCGGUUGUGAAAGCCCCGGGCGCAACCUGGGAACGGCAUCCGGAACUGUCAGGCUAGAGUGCAGGAGAGGAAGGUAGAAUUCCCGGUGUAGCGGUGAAAUGCGUAGAGAUCGGGAGGAAUACCAGUGGCGAAGGCGGCCUUCUGGACUGACACUGACGCUGAGGUGCGAAAGCGUGGGUAGCAAACAGGAUUAGAUACCCGUGUAGUC
rnacentral:rRNA from 1 species